rnacentral:lncRNA from 1 species
AUUGCUGGAGUGUGAUUUCAGAAGAGAAGCAUGGUCUACUUAUUGAUGCCAUCAGAUAUAAAAUUAAAAGAAAGAAAGGUUCUACAAGUGAACCGAACAGAAGAUGUAUAUGUUGAGGCAGCUAUGGAACUCUUAUUUCUUAACUCAAGCAAAAGACCUGUGAGCCAUCCCCUGAUGGAAACCAGCAAGACCACCCCGCAAGCAAUCAUGACUACUCUGAGGAAGAGCUCUGGAGGCCCUGAUCACCCGGGGCAGUUUGUGCUCAACCCCCAACUCACACCUGCUCUGCAGGUCCCUGGAGUGACUCAUGGAGUGCCCAGCACUUACCUUUAUCUCAUUAUAAUCCUAAAAUCUCUACCCAGGAGGAGCACAAGCCUCAUUUACAUAAUAUACAAUUCAGGUACAGGCAUGUUUCCUUAAGAUGCUUGCACCACUGAUGUCUGCCUCUGUAUGUGAUGACCAGGCUUCCUGUUCUAAAUAUCCAUCCUACUCCUAAAUAAAAGGAACCCAUUCACAGGGAAUCUUGGCUUUUGAAGUUAUUCCUUGUGAUCUCCUUACCUGCUACAGAUAACCUUUGCUUUGUGUGACAGUCCCACCUACCAUAGUUUCUGUGACUCACUAAGGAGCAAACUCAAGUUCAUUCAGUGACACCAGCAACGUAGAGAAUCAUCCCCUCUCCCGGGCCUGGCCUGCUCCUUGCAAACCUCCUCUCCCCCCAGAGUUAUAAAUCUUUUAAAUUGUUUUAAAUGUAAAUAUUUUAAGCUGUUUUAAAUUGGUUUAAGUACUUAAAGUAAUUAUUAUUUAAUUUUAACUGUGUAUUUCUGAAACACACCUAAGGUGUGUUUUUGUAUAUUGUGUGAUAUAGGAGUUCAGUUGUCUUUUCAUUCAGGCAACGGUACCAACGCUUUAUUAAAUCUUAUUCCCUCUAAAUUUAAACACCGAAUUUUAGUAUGGUCAAUUCCCAUAAACAAUAGAAUGCUUUGUUUCAUUUUGUCUUACCGAUUGACUUUAAAACAAGUUUGAUCCUUAUUCUUCGUUUUCAUAUUUUCAGCUUUCUCGGGCAUUUUCCCUCCUCCAUAAUGAAUUUUAAGAGCACUUUAUUUGUUUUAACAUUUUUU